UACGAAGGGGGCUAGCGUUGCUCGGAAUGACUGGGCGUAAAGGGCGCGUAGGCGGCUUGCACCGUCAGAUGUGAAAUUCCUGGGCUUAACCUGGGGGCUGCAUUUGAUACGUGUGGGCUUGAGUGCGGAAGAGGGUCGUGGAAUUCCCAGUGUAGAGGUGAAAUUCGUAGAUAUUGGGAAGAACACCGGUGGCGAAGGCGGCGACCUGGGCCAGCACUGACGCUCAUGCACGAAAGCGUGGGGAGCAAACAGG
rnacentral:rRNA from 1 species